AUUCAAAUAAACUUCUUGGGGCUAAUUUAGAAAAAAGGGGAAAUUGCAGUAGUUCUUUCACGACGUUUCCGAUAGAUUUUGGCAGUUGUCGAUGGCUGAAGACGGCGGAAACGCGGCGGAGCUACCGGCCUCCGACCCAAACCCGUGCCCGAUUUGUCUUGCACCAGUUACCGAAGAGUCCUACUUGAAUCAAUGUUUCCACAAAUUUUGCUACAGCUGCAUUCUGCGUUGGAUAAAAGUGGUUUCGAGUAAGCACUCUCGUGCACCUGCUUCGGUGAAGUGUCCUUUAUGUAAGACAGAGAAUUUUUCUAUUAUACGGAGCUAUAGUGGAGGGUUUUUUUCAACAACAUUCUGUAAAUGGAAACUUGGACAAUAG
rnacentral:misc_RNA from 1 species